rnacentral:rRNA from 1 species
AGCGAACGCUGGCGGCAGGCCUAACACAUGCAAGUCGAACGAACCUUUCGGGGUUAGUGGCGGACGGGUGAGUAACACGUGGGAACGUGCCUUUAGGUUCGGAAUAGCUCAGGGAAACUUGUGCUAAUACCGAAUGUGCCCUUCGGGGGAAAGAUUUAUCGCCUUUAGAGCGGCCCGCGUCUGAUUAGCUAGUUGGUUGAGGUAAUGGCUCACCAAGGCGACGAUCAGUAGCUGGUCUGAGAGGAUGAUCAGCCACAUUGGGACUGAGACACGGCCCAAACUCCUACGGGAGGCAGCAGUGGGGAAUCUUGCGCAAUGGGCGAAAGCCUGACGCAGCCAUGCCGCGUGAAUGAUGAAGGUCUUAGGAUUGUAAAAUUCUUUCACCGGGGACGAUAAUGACGGUACCCGGAGAAGAAGCCCCGGCUAACUUCGUG